UACGGAGGGUGCAAGCGUUAAUCGGAAUUACUGGGCGUAAAGCGUGCGCAGGCGGUUUGUUAAGUCUGCUGUGAAAUCCCCGAGCUCAACUUAGGAAUUGCAGUGGAUACUGGCAAGCUGGAGUACGGUAGAGGAAGGUGGAAUUCCCGGUGUAGCAGUGAAAUGCGUAGAGAUCGGGAGGAACACCAGUGGCGAAGGCGGCCUUCUGGACCAGUACUGACGCUCAUGCACGAAAGCGUGGGGAGCAAACAGG
rnacentral:rRNA from 1 species